CGUACGGAUUCUGGGCGUAAGCGUGCGUAGGCGGUUCGUUAGUCAGAUGUGAAAGCCCCGGGCUCAACCUGGGAACGGCAUUUGAAACUGGCGGACUAGAGUUUAGUAGAGGGGAGUGGAAUUUCAGGUGUAGCGGUGAAAUGCGUAGAUAUCUGAAGGAACACCAGUGGCGAAGGCGACUCCCUGGACUAGAACUGACGCUGAGGUACGAAAGCGUGGGUAGCAAACAGGAUUAGAUACCCUGGUAGUCCACGCUGUAAACGAUGUCAACUAGCCGUUGGUCCUAUUUACAGGAUUAGUGGCGCAGCUAACGCAUUAAGUUGACCGCCUGGGGAGUACGGCCGCAAGGUUAAAACUCAAAUGAAUUGACGGGGGCCCGCACAAGCGGUGGAGCAUGUGGUUUAAUUCGAUGCAACGCGAAGAACCUUACCUACCCUUGACAUCCAUAGAAUCA
rnacentral:rRNA from 1 species